rnacentral:rRNA from 1 species
CCCUUAGAUGUUCUGGGCCGCACGCGUGCUACACUGAGUGGAUCAGCGGGUCAGGUUGCGCGAAAGUGUUUCCUAAUCUUGAAAUCCGCUCGUGAUGGGGAUUGACGGUUGCAAUUUUCCGUCAUGAACGAGGAAUACCUUGUAAGCGCGGGUCAUCAUCCCGCGCUGAAUACGUCCCUGCCCUUUGUACACACCGCCCGUCGCUCCUACCGAUUGAGUGGUCCGGUGAGGCUUUGGAAUCUGAGCAAAGAGAGCGUUUCGCUCGUUUUGCCCGGAAAACUCAGUCGAACCUUAUCAUUUAGAGGAAGGAGAAGUCGUAACA